rnacentral:rRNA from 14 species
CCGAAUGGGGCAACCCACCUGAUUGUUUCUAGUUAUCGCGCAGCGAUAACCACUCCGUGCCUGCUCAAUGCAGGUUUGGUGCGGUGAUCGUCUGUGUGGCUAUCUGGCGGCAAAAACAAGUACUUAGGGACUGAAUACAUAGGUCUUUAAGAGCAAACCCGGAGAACUGAAACAUCUAAGUACCCGGAGGAAAGGACAUCAACCGAGACUCCGUUAGUAGUGGCGAGCGAACGCGGACCAGGCCAGUGCCUUCAUUUCAACUAGCAGAACACUUUGGAAAGAGUGGCCGUAGCGGGUGACAGCCCCGUAUGUGAAAGUGAUGAUGAAGGACUUGAGUAGGGCGGGACACGUGAAAUCCUGUCUGAACAUGGGGGGACCACCCUCCAAGCCUAAGUACUCCUUACCAACCGAUAGUGAACCAGUACCGUGAGGGAAAGGUGAAAAGCACCCCGAUUAGGGGAGUGAAA